GAUGAAGAACGCAGCGAAAUGCGAUACUUGGUGUGAAUUGCAGAAUCCCGUGAACCAUCGAGUCUUUGAACGCAAGUUGCGCCCGAAGCCGUCAGGCCGAGGGCACGCCUGCCUGGGCGUCACACGCCGUUGCCCCCCCGCGCCCCGCACCCAACUCUUUGGGAGCGACCGCGGGGCGGGCUGAUGAUGGCCUCCCGUGCGCUCCGCCGCGCGUUUGGCCCAAAUACCGAGUCCCCGGCGACGUGCGCCACGACGAUCGGUGGUUGAGAGACCUCUGUCGCAAGUCGUGCGCGCCCGUCGCGUCACGCGGGCUCGCAUAGCGCCUCGCGCCGCACCCGGUGCGGAGCUUUCAACGCGACCCCAGGUCAGGCGGGGUUACCCGCUGAAUUUAAGCAUAUCAUAAGCGGAGGA
rnacentral:misc_RNA from 1 species